AAAGACGACAUAGAGGAAUAUAAAGGCACAAAAGAAGAAGAAGAAUCAUUACACUCACACAAAGUUCCAACUAAGACUAAACUGCUACAUCCUUUUCUAUAUUCUUCAAGUUCUUUCUCGAAAGAAUUCGGACUGGAAUAUAUGAGCACAAAAGAAAAAGAAGAAGAAUCAUUACGCUCAGAAAAUUUUCCAACUAAGACGAAACAAGACUCCGGAUGGGAAAAGGAAGAAGGAAAAACAUAACGCUCAGACAAAAUUCCAACUAAGACGAAACGUUGUACCAUAUGUUAAUCAUCUUUACAAGACAGAUACGGUGGUUGUCAUUAGAAAUAUUUUCAGAAGAAAUAACAGUUCAAAGAAGUAAGAUUGUUAAAGACAUACUAAGCCAGUAUAGACAUACCAGCAGGAAAUAUAGCAACAUAUUAGAGAAAGGUACAUGUGAAGGAAUUGAUAACUUGGAUGAAUAAAACUGCUGAGCUGGAAAAAACUACAAUCUUCUGACAAGUAAUUGUACAACCUUUGCAAAUGCUGCAUUUGAUUACGUUACUGAAUCUAGGUCAUCACUGGAUAGGCAGUAUUUGCGUAUCCAGAAGGAAACGUUUGAAAAAAAAAAAUGUAACGCAGUCUACUGAAUACAUGCGAUCUUACUGCGUUUCCGAUAGACUGUGUAUUUUAUCCGCCUUCUGACAUCUGGUACCUAACAGAGACCAUGAAAUGGAACUCUCCGAGCACCUGCAUUUUACUCUCUUAAUUUAUAUGAUACCUUUUGAGAAUGUAUGUAAAUGACUAACCUCGGCCGGUCAUUUUUUUGUAAAACUCUAACACGAGAUUUUCAGGUCGCAUGUUUAAUAUCUGAAGGUGACACAUAAUAUAGUUUUUUUUUUUUUUCAAAUAGUAUUCUAAACAGAUACGUAAAACAUGAUAAAAUACAUGACAGCAUCCCGUCACAAUCUUGAGUAUCCCGUAGUUCGUUUAAAUUGUAAGGAACGCGUUUCAAAUGUUGCCUCUACUAAUGUAAAACUAAAAUAAGCUUCGCCAACGUUUCUGGAUAUUUAAAUAAUUGAAGAAAAACAUUAAGACGAGAAGACACAGUCGUUUAUGGCAUUCAACGUGGUCCCAGGAGAAUCUAAAGCAUGCAGGUCAUCUUAUAACAUUCAAUAUGGAGGUGAAAACACUGUACAUUGUGAAACGUUACUUUCCUUCUUUAUGUACUCUGAAUAACUUGAGAAAGUACUAAAACGUCACACCUCAUUUAUAAUGCUUUUGGUCAGAAUGUAAAGAUAGAAUAAAUCUACACUUGCAGCAACAUAAUUUAAUGACAUUCAAUUGUAAAGAACAUGUACAUACACUGUAUAUGAUAAAAAGUUAAUACAUAUUUUUCAUAAAGAUAUAUAUUAAGUAUUCUUGAUUUGUGUUAUGUUCUGAAGGAAGAUCUAAAGUUUAAAUUUCUUAAAUAAAUGGAAGACAUCCUUGUAAAAACAACUACGAAGAGAAGUCCGCUGUUUGAAACUGUGUCUUUAUAUGACACCAUAUUAUUAAAAACUCCAUAUGUGCAUUGUUGCCGACCAAGAAACUCUAAAAUUAAAGUAUUGAAAUCAAUAAGUAUACGCAAUAGAGCUGAAUAUUUCAGCACAUAAUAGGUAAACAGUAUGAAAGUGGAAAUUAAUGGCCUAUUCUUGUAUGUACAGGAAAUGCCUACAUUUAGUAAGUAAAUAUUUAUUGAAAUAACGUUUAAACAAGAAAUAGCUUUAAAAAAAUACACGACCGCAUUAGCCAAUGCUCACUUUAAGCUAUGAAAUGUGCAUGCACUUUGCACUUUUACAUACGAUCAGGUAUUUAUAAAGCAAAACAAAUUGUAGUUUUUAAAGUUUUUUUUUUCAUUUUUCUAUAUAUUACAUAUUUUACAGAACACAUAUUUUACAUAAUAAUAAUCAUAAUCUAGAAAACUUAGUGCCUAGGGCUGAAUAGUGGGGGACCUAAUGACCAAUUUGAAAACGUCAGUGGAUACCAAAUGACCAAACUGGGGACGAGUUGACUGGGGGACGGGUUGACUAGGUGACGAGUUGACUGUAAAUCGUUUACGGGAGAUCAUUCCCUAUCAGAAGGUUUGUAGUCGAACUCUGCCGCAGUUUCACUUCCGAGGAGAUUCAGGUUUAUGACGUAAGUUAUUUGCAACGGAUUAUACUAUCUAACAAUAAAGCUCAGUGCACCUGCACACCUAAGAAAACACUAUCUAUUCCAUUCGAAACUCGAGGAAUUUUUCAUCCACCAAUCAAAAUGUCCAGUUUUUAUCAGCCGUUAAAUGACCUUCAACUCAUAUAUUUACAGGAAGUAAAGUUGAAUUCAAUACCUGCCUUUGGCCUUUGGCCGGAAAAAUCUCUUUGUCAUCGUAAGUUUUCGUUUUUAUUUGUAAUAGGUGUUGUAUAUUUAUAAACAGAUGUGUAAAUGUCUUAACAACCUAAUGAUAUCUCGUUUAUCAAGGGACGCUCGUUAUUUUUUAUUUACACUUUACUUAAUAAGCGUCUGUGCAUUGACACGUGAUUUCUCGAGAAACGUUCUGUUUUGAAUUUAUUUUAUAUCGUUUUCCUUUGGUCUCCAUGUAACAUCUUGAAAACGUUAGUCAUGUUAGAUUCAAAGCAAUAUACAUGUAGUGUAAAUACCACAACCGUGUAGUUGCAAAUGUUGAACUUAAAAUGAUGUCGGGUAAAAACA